rnacentral:rRNA from 1 species
CGCUGGGGCUGCUUACCAUGCAACUCUCACGGAUGGGGGCAACCCCAUUAGUGGCGGACGGGUGAGAUACGCGUAGGUAUCUAUCCUUGGGUGGGGGAUAACUGUGGGAAACUACAGCUAAUAGCGCAUGAUCCCUGAGGGGCAAGGGCGCAAGUCGCCUGAGGAGGAGCCUGCGUCCGAUUAGCUAGUUGGUGGGGUAAAGGCCUACCAAGGCUGGGAUCGGUAGCUGGUCUGAAAGGAUGAUCAGCCACACUGGGACUGAGACACGGACCAGACUCCUACGGGAGGCAGCAGUAGGGAAUCUUGCGCAAUGGGCGCAAGCCUGACGGAGCAACGCCGCGUGAGUGAAGACGGUCUUCGGAUUGUAAAGCUCUGUUGCUCGAGACGAGCGGAUGGGAGAGGGAAUGCUCCCAUCGAGACAGUAUCGGGUCAGAAAGCCCCGGCUAACAACGUGCCAGCAGCCGCGGUAAU